AGCGAACGCUGGCGGCAGGCCUAACACAUGCAAGUCGAACGAACCUUUCGGGGUUAGUGGCGGACGGGUGAGUAACACGUGGGAACGUGCCUUUAGGUUCGGAAUAACUCAGGGAAACUUGUGCUAAUACCGAAUGUGCCCUUCUGGGGAAAGAUUAAUCGCCUUUAGAGCGGCCCGCGUCUGAUUAGCUAGUUGGUUGAGGUAAUGGCUCACCAAGGCGACGAUCAGUAGCUGGUCUGAGAGGAUGAUCAGCCACAUUGGGACUGAGACACGGCCCAAACUCCUACGGGAGGCAGCAGUGGGGAAUCUUGCGCAAUGGGCGAAAGCCUGACGCAGCCAUGCCGCGUGAAUGAUGAAGGUCUUAGGAUUGUAAAAUUCUUUCACCGGGGACGAUAAUGACGGUACCCGGAGAAGAAGCCCCGGCUAACUUCGUG
rnacentral:rRNA from 1 species